UAGAGAAAAGGGGAUGAUGAGCCCUGCUAAUGUGGCGAUGUGGACACUGUUGCGGGGAGGAAAAAACAGGUGGAGUCAGCGCAGCAAUGGGAACCCAUAGGACCAUUAUGAUUAUCAAUUAUGACAUAGGAACAUCCAUGCCAUAUCUACAACUGUGUGUGCAUGCGUGCGUGUGAGAGAGGCAGAGACGGACAGACAGAGACAUUCAGAGAGGAUGGAUGAUCUGAGGGAUGAAGCUGAUCUGAGACACAACCCAAGAACUGCCAACCUAAGUCUGCCUGAAAGCCCAAAUGAUGGAGCACCAGCUUUGUGAGAGAAAAGAAGUCAAAUAGUGAUAAGCCAAAUUCCAGUACCUAACAGAACAAAACUGGGACCUGUUUGUUGUAUGCAAAGACAUAAAAAACCUGGCCCCAUACUAAAAGGAGUCAAGGGAGCACCCUGGCACGGAGAACCGGUGUCUUCGUUUCCUACUGGUCUUUUCUAUCGUUCCAGUUACUCAGGCACAAGAAAUGGAAAGCUCAGAUGGAAUUGCCAAGAUGUCAGAAUAGCCAAAAUGAUCUUGAAAAAGAUAAAGUUGGAGGACUCAAACUUCUCAAUUUCAAAGCUUACUACAAAGCUACAGUGAUCAAGAUAGUAUGGUACUAUCUAGAUAUGUAGAUCAAUGGAUUAGAAUUGAAAGACCAGAAAUAAACCUAUAGAUCUAUGUUCAAUUGAUUUUUCUUUUAUUUUUUAAUUUUCUAAGUUUAUUUAUUUUUUGAGAAAGAGAGAGCAAGAGCAGGGGAAGGGCAGAGAGAGAAGGGGACAGAGGAUCUGAAGCAGGCUCAGCAGAAAGCCCAGUGUGGGGCCUGAACUCAAGAACCAUGAGAUCAUGACCUGAGCCAAAGUCAGAGGCUUAACCAACUGAGCCACCCAAGAGCCCCUGUGUUCAACUGAUUUUUCAACAAGGACACCAAGACUCAGGGGAAAGGAUAUUCUCUUCAGCAAAUGCCGCCUGGACAACUGGGUAACCCUCUGCAAAAGCAUGGAGUUGCAUUCUUGUCUCACAGCAUAUACAAAUAUUAACUCAUAAUCGAUUGAAGUCCCAAAGGUAAGAGAUAAAACUAUAAAACUCUGAGAAGAAAACACAGGAGUAACACUUUAUGAGCUUGGAUUUGGCCGUGGAUGGAUUCUUAGCUCUAGCACCGAAGUAUAAGCAAUGGAAGAAAAAUAGAUAAAUUGGAUGUCAACAGAAUUAAGAACUUUUGUGCACCAAAGGUCAUUAUAUAAAAAAGGAAAAGACAACCUACAAAAUGGAAGAAAAUAUUUUUUUAAAUUUUUUUUAAUGUUUAUUUAUUUUUGAGAGAAACAGACAGAAUGUGAGUGGGUUAGGGCCAGAAAGAGAGAGAGACACAGAAGCAGAAGCAGGCUCCAGGCUCUGAGCUGUCACACAGAGCCCGACGCAGGGCUUGAACUCACGAGCUGUGAGAUCAUGACCUGAGCCGAAAUCAGACGCUCAACCAACUGAGCCACCCAGGUGCCCCAAGAAAAUAUUUUCAAAUCAAAUAUCUGAUAAGGACCUAGAGUCCAGAAUAUAUAAAGACGUCUUACAACUCAACAAUGAAAAGACAAAGAAGCCAAUUUAAAAGUGGUCAGUGGACAUGAAUAGACAUUUCUCCAAAGAAAAAUACGCAAAUGCCCCCAAAGCACAUGUUCAACAUCAUCUGGCAAAUGCAAAUCAUAACCCCAAUUAAAUGCUAUAAUUUUAAAAAGUGGGAAAUAACAAGUGUUGGCAAGGAUAUGGAGACUGGUGGGAAUGUAAAAUGGCCUGGAUGCUGUGGAAAACAGAUUGGCAGUUCCUCAGAAAGUUAAACACAGAAUUCCCACAUGACCCAGCAAUUCCACUCCUAGGUAUAUAGUUAAAAGAACUAAAAACAGGUGUUCAAACCAAUACUUGUACACAAAUGCUCAGAGCAGUACUACUGACAAUCACCAAAGAGCGAAAAACAUUAACAUAUCUGCCAAUUUAUGA